rnacentral:rRNA from 1 species
UUCGCAAUGCCCGAAAGGGUGACGAAGCGACGCCGCGUGGGUGAGGAAGGCCCUCGGGUUGUAAAGCCCUGUCAGGAGUUAAGAAAUGUAAGUGCGCUAAUAUCGCAUUUAUUUGACGAAGGCUCCAAAGGAAGCCACGGCUAGCUCUGUGCCAGCAGCCGCGGUAAUACAGAGGCGGCAAGCGUUGUUCGGAAUUAUUGGGCGUAAAGAGCACGUAGGUGGGUUUGUAAGUCAGAUGUGAAAGCCUUCUGUUCAACGGAAGAAUUGCAUCUGAAACUACAAGUCUUGAGUGUAGGAGGGGAGAAUGGAACUUCUGGUGGAGCGGUGAAAUGCGUAGAUAUCAGAAGGAACGCCGGCGGCGAAAGCGAUUCUCUGGCCUAUUACUGACACUCAGUGUGCGAAAGCUAGGGGAGCAAACGGGAUUAGAUACCCCGGUAGUCCUAGCCGUAAACGAUGGGCACUAAGUAGAGGGGUUUU